rnacentral:rRNA from 1 species
UAAUACGAAGGGACCUAGCGUAGUUCGGAAUUACUGGGCUUAAAGAGUUCGUAGGUGUUGAAAAAGUUAGUGGUGAAUCCCAGAGCUUAACUCUGGAACUGCCAUUAAAACUUUUCAGCUAGAGUAUGAUAGAGGAAAGCAGAAUUUCUAGUGUAGAGGUGAAAUUCGUAGAUAUUAGAAAGAAUACCAAUUGCGAAGGCAGCUUUCUGGAUCAUUACUGACACUGAGGAACGAAAGCAUGGGUAGCGAAGAGGAUUAGAUACCCUCGUAGUCCAUGCCGUAAACGAUGUGUGUUAGACGUUGGAAAUUUAUUUUCAGUGUCGCAGCGAAAGCGAUAAACACACCGCCUGGGGAGUACGACCGCAAGGUUAAAACUCAAAUGAAUUGACGGGGACCCGCACAAGUAGUGGAGCAUGUGGUUUAAUUCGAAGAUACGCGCAGAACCUUACCAACACUUGACAUGUUCGUCGCGACUCUAAGAGAUUAGAGUUUUCGGUUCGGCCGGACGAAACACAGGUGCUGCAUGGCUGUCGUCAGCUCGUGUCGUGAGAUGUUGGGUUAAGUCCCGCAACGAGCGCAACCCUCACUUUUAGUUGCCAUCAUUUAGUUGGGCACUCUGAAAGAACUGCCAGUGAUAAGCUGGAGGAAGGUGGGGAUGACGUCAAGUCCUCAUGGCCCUUACGUGUUGGGCUACACACGUGCUACAAUGGUAUCUACAACAGGAAGCAAGACUGCAAGGUCAAGCAAAUCCUUAAAAGAUACCUCAGUUCGGAUUGCACUCUGCAACUCGAGUGCAUGAAGCUGGAAUUACUAGUAAUCGUGGAUCAGCGUGCCACGGUGAAUGCGUUCCCGGGUCUUGUACACACCGCCCGUCACACCAUGGGAGUUGGUUCUACCUUAAGGCAAGGUUUCAAACCCUUGACCACGGUAUAGUCAGCGACUGGGGUG